AACCCACCGCGCUCGGCGUUGCCGGGAGCCGCGCUAGGCGUAAGCUAAUGAGGAAGAAGUUGGCCGUUGAAAGAGCAACGCUGAUUAGUGAAUCUUAAAUCACCUAAAUGAAAGCCCACUUGUGAUUCGCCCUAAGUAAACCAGAGCCCCGUGGGCUGGAACGCGCCGGAAUCUGAGGACUGGGAGUUUUCAUCCUCUUGAAUAAGAACUCGACAACAGAGUGGGAACUUUCUGUCUUGUGAUCCAUUGCCUGGUGAGUCACAGCUCACACCAUGGAUUUAACCUGAGAGCUUCAACUUCUGCUUUGGCCCUGGAGUUCCCAUGCCCUGGUGUCUUCUACCAGUUCUUAGUGUGUUGCACUGGAGCACAGAGGACACUCGAUCGUGCGGCGCGCAGGGCGGGGGGCCGCCGCUGCCUCCCCGCGGGAUGGCUGGCACUGUGCUCGGAGUCGGUGCGGGCGUGUUCAUCUUAGCCCUGCUCUGGGUGGCAGUGCUGCUGCUGUGUGUGCUGCUGUCCAGAGCCUCCGGGGCGGCGAGGUUCUCUGUCAUUUUUUUAUUCUUCGGUGCUGUGAUCAUCACAUCAGU
rnacentral:lncRNA from 1 species